GACGAACCGUCCAAACGUUGUUCGGAAUCACUGGGCCUAAAGGGCGCGUAGGCGGGCUGCCAAGUCAGGGGUGAAAUCUUUCGGCUCAACCGGAAAAGUGCUUUUGAUACUGGCAGUCUCGAGUGAGGUAGGGGUCGAUGGAACUGGUGGUGGAGCGGUGAAAUGCGUAGAUAUCACUAGGAACGCCGGUGGCGAAAGCGAUCGACUGGACCUUUUCUGACGCUGAGGCGCGAAAGCCAGGGGAGCAAACGG
rnacentral:rRNA from 1 species